CCGAAAUCCUGGUCCAUGGACUUGAAGAAGAACUUGUAGCUGUGCACGGGCCGGUUGCUGAGGACAUUUUUGAAAUCGGCCAGCGUGACUUUCUCCGGCGGCACGGGCAGCUUCACCAGGCAAGGGCACACUCAGCUCUCAGGAUGCUCAGCUGCACUCUCUGAAGGAGAACAAUCACAGCUCAGUGGCUGAAUUACCUGUGGCACUGCAAGGAUUUUUCUACCAGCACCAACCAGAGAGGCCCAGCUGUGUCAGAGGCUGCCAGAAGUCCCUCUGCCUUGGUAAAACUCUCCCUGGACUGGAAGGCAGAAAGGAAACUGGGACAAACUGGACUUCACUUCAAGCAAGUGCAAGACAAUAAAAAUUUCACUUUUUUAAAAAAUGAUCUGCUGGUGUUCUAAAUGAGCUUCUC